rnacentral:rRNA from 1 species
UACGAAGGGGGCUAGCGUUGCUCGGAAUCACUGGGCGUAAAGCGCACGUAGGCGGAUCUUUAAGUCAGGGGUGAAAUCCCAAGGCUCAACCUUGGAACUGCCUUUGAUACUGGGGAUCUCGAGUCCGGAAGAGGUGAGUGGAACUGCGAGUGUAGAGGUGAAAUUCGUAGAUAUUCGCAAGAACACCAGUGGCGAAGGCGGCUCACUGGUCCGGUACUGACGCUGAGGUGCGAAAGCGUGGGAGCAAACAGG